rnacentral:rRNA from 1 species
CAGCCGCCACGGGAAUACGUAGGUGGCAAGCGUUAUCCGGAAUGAUUGGGCGUAAAGCGUCUGUAGGUGGCUUUUCAAGUCCGCCGUCGAAUCCCAGGGCUCAACCCUGGACAGGCGGUGGAAACUACCAAGCUGGAGUACGGUAGGGGCAGAGGGAAUUUCCGGUGGAGCGGUGAAAUGCGUAGAGAUGUGGAGGAACACCAGUGGCGAAGGCGACUCUCUGGUCUGUAACUGACGCUGAGGAGCGAAAGCGUGGGGAGCGAACAGGAUUAGAUACCCCUGUAGUCCCUGUCUCUUAUAC